UAGCCAUAUCAUGUUGGAACACCGGUUCUUGUACGAUCACCAAAGCUAAGCAACGUUGAACCUGGUCAGUACUUAGAAUGGGUGACCACUUGAGAAUACCAAGAUCUGU